UUUUAGCUUCCAUUUAAGAUGGACCAUUAAGAAUGGAACAACAAGGAUGAAGAUGUACGAAGCAAUGUGCUAUGCUCAGAUGAAAUCUACGUAGAAAUAAAUCACCUUUCAAAAUGCUUGAAUGAAAACCCCAGGUUUACUAGCAACACCUGCAGUAUAUCGAGCUAAACCAGACUGAACUCUCUCAAGUGUAUACUUCUUGACAAGACACUCAGGACUGGAGUCUCUGCAAAGCACAAUAUUACAG